UAUAGAGAGAGAAGAAGAAGAACAGGAAAAGAGAGAAAUGCCGACAGCAGCUUCGUUGUGUUCGACUGCUACUCAAUCCCAAAUCAAUGGAUUUGGUGGGGGCCUUAAACUUCGAAAGUCAUCUAUCCCUACUCCUAAUUCAGUCACCUCGACAAGAAGAAAGUAUCAGGUGACAGUAAAGGCAUCAGCCCGCGUUGAUAAAUACUCUAAAAGCGACAUCAUUGUUUCUCCAUCUAUUCUCUCCGCUAACUUUGCCAAGUUGGGAGAACAGGU